CCUUUCCGGUUGAUCCUUGCCGGACCUUGACUGCUAUUCGGAUUGAUACUAAGCCAUUGCGAGUCAUUUGUAGGUAAUACAAGGGCAGACUGGCUCAGUAACGUCGUUAGUUCAACUCUAACCUAUGGACUGGGAAUAACCUCGGGAAAGCUGAGUAUAAUGCCCGAUAGAACACUUAUGUCCUGGUAAUGGUUUUAUGUUCCAAAUUGAUUUAUCGCUCGUAGGAUUGGGACUUGCGGCCUAUCAGUUGUGUUUGGUGAGGUUAAUGGCCCACCAAUGACUAUUACAGUGUUACGGUGCUCUGAGAGGAGGUGGCCCUGGAGAUGGGUACUUGAGACACUGGACCCAGUGCCCUAUGUGGGCGCAGUCAGUGCGAGUAAAACUUUUGCAAUUGUUGCGAAAGUCACGACAAUGGUUAAUCGCGAGUUGGUUUUCUGCUAUAUAGGAACCUUUUGGCGCUAGUCCUAUGAAACACUGUGUGAAUAGUAGUGGGUGGUGCAAGUUUCUGGUGUUCAGCUCGCCGUCGGUGAAAACCUAGCACCUUCAAGUUGGUCAUGGAUUGAUUAUUUGGGCCUAGAAGCAUUCCGUUAGCCGGGCUUCUGUAAGUUUUCGGUUAAAUCUGUACGCUUAAACGUACAUGGCUGGCCGGGAAUACUGUAGAGCUAGGGAGUGGGAGAGGUAGACGGUUACUCGGUAGGAACGGGGUACAAUCUUUGAUCUAUUGAUGACCAACCUGUUGGCAGACAGGCCGUCUCCCAGAAACCCGUCCGACGGUCACGGGAUGACACCUGGGGGGAGCCAAACGGAUUAAAUCCCCGGGUUAGUCCC
rnacentral:rRNA from 1 species